rnacentral:rRNA from 1 species
AUUGAACGCUGGCGGCAUGCUUUACACAUGCAAGUCGAACGGUAACAGGCCUUCGGGCGCUGACGAGUGGCGAACGGGUGAGUAAUGCAUCGGAACGUGCCCAGUCGUGGGGGAUAACGCAGCGAAAGCUGUGCUAAUACCGCAUACGAUCUGUGGAUGAAAGCGGGGGACCUUCGGGCCUCGCGCGAUUGGAGGGGCCGAUGUCAGAUUAGGUAGUUGGUGGGGUAAAGGCCCACCAAGCCGACGAUCUGUAGCUGGUCUGAGAGGACGACCAGCCACACUGGGACUGAGACACGGCCCAGACUCCUACGGGAGGCAGCAGUGGGGAAUUUUGGACAAUGGGCGCAAGCCUGAUCCAGCAAUGCCGCGUGCAGGAAGAAGGCCUUCGGGUUGUAAACUGCUUUUGUACGGAGCGAAAAGGCUCCCUCUAAUACAGGGGGCUCAUGACGGUACCGUAAGAAUAAGCACCGGCUAACUACGUGCCAGCAGCCGCGGUAAGAC